rnacentral:sRNA from 1 species
GCGGGGGAGGGGGGUGGUGUCGUUCUGUUCGUUAAUGCUGUCUGUGCGUUUCGUUCGGCACUCAGGGUGCGGCGUUGGAUGUUGGAUGGAUGGGGUAUCCGGUAUUUGUGGGAUAUGGCGUGGCGUUGGCUUGAGUUUUUUUUUUUUUUGUCUUGUGUAGGGUAGGAGUAGGAUGGACUAGUAACUGUAUUGUCCUAUGUCUGCUACGAGUUUUGCAAAAGAGUCAUAAAAACCGUACAUGUGGGCAAUCAAUCAAUAUACCCAAUAUUCACACAAUAGCUUACACAAAGACCCCA